GUGUGAAUCCUGAGAUUGCAGGAAGAAGAGAGCAGGAGGGAUGAGAACCUUAAGUACAACUGCGAGUGUUCUUUCCUGGAGAUUUACAAUGAACAAAUUACAGAUCUUCUUGACCCUUCAUCCACAAAUCUUCAACUCCGAGAAGAUACGAGGGUUGGUGUCUAUGUUGAAAAUGUGACUAAACGUGAAGUUACGUGCGUCAGUGACAUCAUAACACUUUUGAUGCAGGGUUCUGCGAAUAGGAAAGUCUCUAUGACGCAUAUGAAUCAUGCAAGUAGCCGCUCCCACAGUGUUCUCACAUG